AAACCAGCAAAUCGAUAUCGUUGCUGGGGACCCCUUCGGUAGCCGUUUACCGUUGUUGCAUCAACUGAGUUCCGUAGUUUGACCUUCAAACGCCAUCAAUCAAGUGGACAAUCGUCGUUCGGUGAAUGCAGUCAACGACCAAUGUGUGGCGUAAACAUGACAUUCGUGUCGUGUCGUUCAUCACUUUUUCGUCCAGCUGAUGACAAUGUUAUUGAAAAUUGGAUUUGGGAUGAGCUGGAAUUUCAAUGACUUCCAACUGCAAGAACCUCCUCCCCUUCCCACUAUGAGGAAUCUUGAUUCAAUACUUGACUUUAUUAACAAAGAACACGAUAUGUGCCAGCCUAUAAUUUGGCGGGAUGUAACUCGUAAGCUUAUUUGUCGAACGACGAGAUGGGAUAUAAAAAGAAAAAUGUUUAAUAAGGCUUGUACAAAAAAAUAGAAAUAAAAAAAAAAUGAAUAAAAACCAAAAUUGAACAAAUA